rnacentral:rRNA from 1 species
CCUACGGGAGGCAGCAGUGAGGAAUAUUGGUCAAUGGGCGGAAGCCUGAACCAGCCAAGUAGCGUGCGGGAUGAAGGCCCUACGGGUCGUAAACCGCUUUUGCACGGGGAUAACACCCUCCACUUGUGGAGGUUUGCAGGUACCGUGCGAAUAAGGGCCGGCUAAUUCCGUGCCAGCCGCCGCGGUAAUACGGAAGGCCCGAGCGUUAUCCGGAUUUCUUGGGCUUAAAGGGAGCGUAGGCGGGCGUUCAAGGCAGCGGUAAAAUCGCGCGGCCAAACCCCGCCCCGCAGUUGAAACUGGACGCCUUGAGUGCACAACAGGCAGGCGGAAUUCGUGGUGUAGCGGUGAAAUGCAUAGAUAUCACGAGGAACCCCGAUUGCGAAGGCAGCCUGCCGGGGUGCGACUGACGCUGAGGCUCGAAGGUGCGGGUAUCAAACAGGAUUAGAUACCCUUGUAGUC